rnacentral:misc_RNA from 1 species
AGCGAGUAGGAUGGCAUAGCAGCAAGAAUUGAAACAGCGGCAGCAGUGACGUCAGGGUCAGGGAAGUGGAGAUCAGAACGGACGCCAGUGCAUACGGAGUCCCAGAGAUCAGCAGUGAGACGAGUGGAUCGAAUCAAGUCAAAAGAGAGCUUCUUACAAACGGCGGAGGCUGGUGCAGCGACGAUCUCUUCGACGGCGGUCUUGGCGAUGACAGAAAUGUCACGGCCAGCAGCAGACUGCUGGAGAGCUUGGAGGAGAGCACCAGAUUGGCGCAAAGCGUCAUUGGAGCGGAGGUCCGCUUGGAUCUGAGCGAAGAGUAUAUCCAUCUUGGUCUAUGCAGAGACCAAGAUUCGAAGAUUUACUUUGGAUCAAUUAGAGGCUAUUUUCUGGCGAUUGAAACAUGGAUAAUUUGAAGCAAAAUUUGAUUGGAAAUGGAGAAAGGAUGGAGGGAAGGUGACGAGAACCGCAAUGUGAGCUUUG